rnacentral:rRNA from 1 species
CCUACGGGUGGCUGCAGUGAGGAAUAUUGGUCAAUGGGCGCGAGACUGAACCAGCCAAGUAGCGUGAAGGAUGACUGUCCUACGGGUUGUAAACUUCUUUUAUAAGGGAAUAAAGUGAGGCACGUGUGCCUGGUUGUGUGUACUUUAUGAAAAAGGAUCGGCUAACUCCGUGCCAGCAGCCGCGGUAAUACGGAGGAUGCGAGCGUUAUCCGGAUUUAUUGGGUUUAAAGGGAGCGUAGAUGGGUUGUUAAGUCAGUUGUGAAAGUUUGGGGCUCAACCGUAAAAUUGCAAUUGAUACUGGCAGUCUUGAGUACGGUUGAGGUAGGCGGAAUUCGUGGUGUAGCGGUGAAAUGCAUAGAUAUCACGAAGAACUCCGAUUGCGAAGGCAGCUUACUAAACUGCCACUGACAUUGAUGCUCGAAAGUGUGGGUAUCAAACAGGAUUAGAUACCCGAGUAGUC